UGCAAGUCGAGCGGACAGAAGGGAGCUUGCUCCCGGAUGUUAGCGGCGGACGGGUGAGUAACACGUGGGUAACCUGCCUGUAAGACUGGGAUAACUCCGGGAAACCGGAGCUAAUACCGGAUAGUUCCUUGAACCGCAUGGUUCAAGGAUGAAAGACGGUUUCGGCUGUCACUUACAGAUGGACCCGCGGCGCAUUAGCUAGUUGGUGGGGUAAUGGCUCACCAAGGCGACGAUGCGUAGCCGACCUGAGAGGGUGAUCGGCCACACUGGGACUGAGACACGGCCCAGACUCCUACGGGAGGCAGCAGUAGGGAAUCUUCCGCAAUGGACGAAAGUCUGACGGAGCAACGCCGCGUGAGUGAUGAAGGUUUUCGGAUCGUAAAGCUCUGUUGUUAGGGAAGAACAAGUGCGAGAGUAACUGCUCGCACCUUGACGGUACCUAACCAGAAAGCCACGGCUAACUACGUGCCAGCAGCCGCGGUAAUACGUAGGUGGCAAGGCGUUGUCCGGAAUUAUUGGGCGUAAAGGGCUCGCAGGCGGUUUUCUUAAGUCUGAUGUGAAAGCCCCCGGCUCCACCGGGGAGGGUCAUUGGAAAACUGGAAAAACUUGGAGUGCAAAAGAGGAGGGUGGAAUCCCCGCGUGUAGCGGAUGAAAU
rnacentral:rRNA from 2 species